CACACACACACACACACACACACACACACACCUCCUUCUCUGGCCAGCAUCCAGUCUAAGACCAUUCUAUUCUGCGUUGCCAUCUUUGAUGUGUGGCAUCCACCUGUUCUCCCAAGGAGGCUAUGUGGAGGAGUGUGUGUGGACAGGGCGUCUGUGGUGUAGUUAAUAAACCGUUGUUGAUUGUAGUAGAUGUAAUGAAUCCACUCCCAUGCUUUGGCGAUGCCCAGGUUGUUAUGAGAGCUUCAAGAAUCCCUCCGUAUAUUUCGCUGCGUGCUUUAUACUCAUGGGGAAAAUACCUCGGGGUUGUCCUAUGCCGUUUUAAGUACACUCUGGGGUCCUUCUCAUAACCACCUACCCCCCCUUUUCCCCCCGUCUAACUCCAGUGUCAACCUUGCAGCUGUUAUUUUCAUAUACUACAAAAGUCUCUUGCAUCGCCAUGACUCGUGCACAUCCCCCGGUCCAGUCUUCUGGAAGGGUGUGGCGUACGUCCCAGUCAGGACCACAGGCCCACCACAUGUCUGCUGGGGGAACAUAUUUGACCUUUGACCCAGCGUCGCAUAGGUAUUAGUAGUCUGAGCUGAACAUCUUUGACCUUUGACCCAGCGAUGCAUAGGUAUUAGUAGUCUGAGCUGAACAUCUUUGACCUUUGACCCAGCGUCGCAUAGGUAUUAGUAGUCUGAGCUGAACAUCUUUGACCUUUGACCCAGCGAUGCAUAGGUAUUAGUAGUCUGAGCUGAACAUCUUUGACCUUUGACCCAGCGAUGCAUAGGUAUUAGUAGUCUGAGCUGAACAUCUUUGACCUUUGACCCAGCGAUGCAUAGGUAUUAGUAGUCUGAGCUGAACAUCUUUGACCCAGCGAUGCAUAGGUAUUAGUAGUCUGAGCUGAACAUCUUUGACCUUUGACCCAGCGAUGCAUAGGUAUUAGUAGUCUGAGCUGAACAUCUUUGACCUUUGACCCAGCGAUGCAUAGGUAUUAGUAGUCUGGUUGCCCACAUUGACAUUUAGUCAUUUAGCAGACGCCUUUAUCCAAAGCGACUUACAAGGAUGUAUACACAUUUUUACAUUUACACUGAUGGCACACUGCACAUCAGGAGCAAUUAGGGGUUCAGUGUCUUGCUCAAGGACGCUUCGACAGGGAAUCGAACUAGCAACCUUCUGCUUCCUAAACGACUUCUUUACCUCCUGUACCACUGUCGCCCAUUUAUACCAUGUAUUACCCUGGGCCUGUCUCCCCAGCUAGAAGGGUCCCUCUCCUGUUGGUAAAGAUGGAGAAGGCACGAAAGAAAAGAGAAACGCUACGAACAGCAUCAUACCCACCAGCGGCAGGAGCUUCUGGAGCCCCAGGUCUUUCCGGUUCUGCUUCCCGCUCCUGCUCUAGAUCGUUCCCUUCGGGAACACCCUCAUUUUUGGCAUGCAGCUCAUGCCCUGGCCUGGCUGCCGUCUCUCCUUCUUCCAGUGGCUC